rnacentral:lncRNA from 1 species
GUCCAGCAGCUGCAGACUCUGAUGAACACAACAGAUAUAUCUAUAUACAUAGAUAGAUAAGAUAGCUCCUCCGAAGAAUAUUCACCAGGAAGAUCAUACAAGAUAUGAAAAUGAAAUGUAAAUGCGAAGAGUUUGUGUGAAACUAUGAAUGUUCAUACCAAGGAUAUGGUAUGGAUAUUCACUGUCACAAGUGUAUACCAUAGAAAUGAAGUAGAUCAUAAUUGUGAUUUGUGAUAUCUUGUUCUUGCGUCCGAAAUCUCCUCAUUUAACAAGAAGAAAAGGUGCCCAAUGAUUUGGGUUUGCCUAGAAACAAGAAUCGGCUGAGAACAUGAAUGUUUCAACGACAAUUUUUGUGGGCAGUAAAACACAUGAGACUGGAUUAAUCAGUGAAUCUCCAUGCAAGGAGCUAACCUCAUGUCUUGAAGACAUCUCCUCAGAUUGAUCUCAACUUCAGAACAAAAUUCACAAGGAGACCUGCCAGCUUGAUUAGGAUGAAGAUAAACUCUCCCAAAUGAAUCACAAAUCAACAGAUUAAACAGUAAUUCCCUACAUGUUUGUCAGCAUCAUGAACAUUGACUUAGUUGAG